UACGUAGGGUGCGAGCGUUGCCCGGAUUUAUUGGGCGUAAAGGGCGCGUAGGCGGCCACGCACGUCCGUUGUGAAAUCGCCCGGCUCAACUGGGCGGGGUCGGCGGAUACGGCGUGGCUGGAGCAAGCUAGGGGGCAAUGGAAUUCCCGGUGUAGUGGUGGAAUGCGUAGAGAUUUGGAGGAAUACCGAUGGCGAAGGCAGCCCCCUGGUAUAGAACUGACGCUGAGGCACGAAAGCGUGGGUAGCAAACAGG
rnacentral:rRNA from 1 species